GAUGAACGCUGGCGGCGUGCCUAAUACAUGCAAGUCGAGCGAACAGAUGAGGAGCUUGCUCCUCUGACGUUAGCGGCGGACGGGUGAGUAACACGUGGAUAACCUACCUAUAAGACUGGGAUAACUUCGGGAAACCGGAGCUAAUACCGGAUAAUAUAUUGAACCGCAUGGUUCAAUAGUGAAAGACGGUUUUGCUGUCACUUAUAGAUGGAUCCGCGCCGCAUUAGCUAGUUGGUAAGGUAACGGCUUACCAAGGCAACGAUGCGUAGCCGACCUGAGAGGGUGAUCGGCCACACUGGAACUGAGACACGGUCCAGACUCCUACGGGAGGCGGCAGUAGGGAAUCUUCCGCAAUGGGCGAAAGCCUGACGCAGCAACGCCGCGUGAGUGAUGAAGGUCUUCGGAUCGUAAAACUCUGUUAUUAGGGAAGAACAAAUGUGUAAGUAACUAUGCACGUCUUGACGGUACCUAAUCAGAAAGCCACGGCUAACUACGUG
rnacentral:rRNA from 1 species